UAUUAUGCAUCGAGAAACAACAAAGAUUAUUGAAUGAACAACGUUCAUCUUUCAAAUGUGUAUAAAAUAUUUGCAAAGGUGUUUGAUGUUGUUUGUUUAUUAGCUAUUUGCAUUUUUGUGCAUUUGAAAGUUAUUAUUUGUUGCGAAUUGUGCUGUCGUGUUUACUUAGUCAAUAUGAGUAAACUAGUAAAGGCCUGCUGUGUACCAGGAUGCACGAAUAAGCAAGCGAUAAGUGGAGUGCCACAGCACCAUUACUCCAGAGCACUUCACCUGGGAGUGCUUGAAAUAGAAGACGAAGAUCUCUGACAUUAAAGCCAUCCUACAUUCUAGACUUUUUAAAGUCUAUACGAGACCCCAAAUCUAUACAUAUGUACAUACGGGACCAUUAGAAAUAUGUUUUAAAAUAUUCAGAUUUAGUAUAGAGAGUAAUUCAAACAUCAAACAAUCUGCACACUACAAAUCUUUAGUUGCAUCUCAACAAAAAUUCAGCUCUAACCACUUAAAAUUUAUACAAAAUUUUUUAUAGGCAACAUAAAUGAUGAAAAGUGGAUGAACAUAACUUGUAAUAGAUGAACUUAUACAAUAUUUUUUAUAUUGAAAUUUAGAUCAAUGUAUCUAAUGAAUAUGAAAAAAAUGUACAAGGUUGAACUGAUGAAAUGGUGAAAACAGUAAUUGGAAACAAACUACUGCAGAAUAUUUAGAUAAAUGAACAAAUUAUAAAAAGUUCAGAUGCAAGUAAUGAUAUAUAUGUUUCAGAAUAAAUAUUUCUAUCACACGUCAUUUUGGAUAUUGAAUUUUGAAUCCCAUAAAUUUCAAGUUUUUACAAAAAUUAAUACAAUUUGAAGCCACCGGAAAUCUUAAUUAAUUAUUUCCCAGACUAUGAUUGCAUAAGUAUUCAAAAGUUCGGAAAAUAUAUUAAUGUUAAGUCUA